CCUACGGGGAGCAGCAGUGGGGAAUAUUGGGCAAUGGGCGCAAGCCUGACCCAGCAACGCCGCGUGAAGGAAGAAGGCUUUCGGGUGGUAAACUUCUUUUCUGAGGGACGAAGAAAGUGACGGUCCCUCACGAAUAAGCCACGGCUAACUACGUGCCAGCAGCAGCGGUAAUACGUAGGUGGCAAGCGUUAUCCGGCUUAAUUGGGUGUGAAGGGCGUGUAGGCGGGAAAGCAAGGCAGAUGUGAAAACUCAGGGCUCAACCCUGAGCCUGCAUUUGAAACUGUUUUUCUUGAGUGCUGGGGAGGCAAUCGGAAUUCCGUGUGUAGCGGUGAAAUGCGUAGAUAUACGGGGGAACACCAGUGGCGAAGGCGGAUUGCUGGACAGUAACUGACGCUGAGGCGCGAAAGCGUGGGGAGCAAACAGGAUUAGAUACCCCGGGUAGUC
rnacentral:rRNA from 1 species